rnacentral:piRNA from 1 species
GUGGAUUGUAUGUUGUUGAAGGCAG